AUGAACAAGCGACCCCGCGACGAGCCCUCCUCCUCCCUCGCCUCCGCCCAAAAGCGCCAGUUCGGCGCAGGCGGUGGCGGCUAUGGGGGACAACAAGGGUACUCGGAGGAGCGGAACAGCGCGCGGCGGGUGGCGGACCACUACAGCGCCCGAUCGAAUCAGACGCUCGAGGAGCGCGAGAACAGCCCCAUCAUCCACCUCAAGAAGCUCAACAACUGGAUAAAGAGCGUCCUGGUCCAGCUGUAUGCGCGUCCGGGAGACUGCGUUCUAGAUCUUGCUUGUGGCAAGGGAGGAGAUUUGAUAAAGUGGGAUAAGGCCAGGGUUGGCUAUUAUGUAGGCGUUGAUAUUGCAGAAGGCUCGAUAAAAGAUUGUAUGACCCGUUAUAACGGUGAUGCUGAUCAACAGCGAAGGAAGAAGUUCAGCUUUCCUGCACGGCUUAUUUGUGCUGAUUGUUAUGAGACUCGUCUGGAUGAGUAUCUAUGUGAGGAUGCUCCAUUUGACAUAUGCAGCUGCCAGUUUGCAAUGCACUACUCAUGGUCAACUGAAGCACGUGCAAGACAAGCGCUUGCUAAUAUAUCUGCAUUGCUUCGUCCUGGAGGCACUUUCAUUGGAACGAUGCCUGAUGCUAAUGUCAUUAUUAAAAGGCUAAGAGAAACUGAAGGGAUGGAGUUUGGAAACAGUGUUUACUGGAUUACCUUUGGUGAAGAGUACAACGAAAAGAAAUUCCCCGCAUCCAGGCCUUUUGGUAUCAAGUACAAGUUCCAUUUAGAGGACGCAGUUGAUUGCCCGGAGUGGGUUGUUCCAUUCCAUCUCUUCAAACUACUGGCAGAGGAGUAUGAUUUAGAGCUGGUUCUAAUGAAGAACUUCCACGAAUUUGUACAUGAGUACUUGCAAAAGCCUGAGUUUGCUGAUCUCAUGCGAAGGCUGGGUGCUCUUGGUGAUGGACGGUCGGUCCAAAGCACACUAUCGCAAGAUGAGUGGGAAGUGUCCUAUCUCUACCUCGCAUUUGUUCUGCGUAAGCGAGGCCCUCCACCCUCCCAGCGGAGAGCCAACAAUGCUAACAGAGGGAAAACGUUCCUUGCUGAGGAGGACAUCGAGUUUCUUAGCAUAUAA
rnacentral:rRNA from 1 species